rnacentral:rRNA from 1 species
AGUGAACGCUGGCGGUAGGCCUAACACAUGCAAGUCGAACGGCAGCACAGUAAGAGCUUGCUCUUACGGGUGGCGAGUGGCGGACGGGUGAGGAAUACAUCGGAAUCUACUUUAUCGUGGGGGAUAACGUAGGGAAACUUACGCUAAUACCGCAUACGACCUACAGGUGAAAGCAGGGGAUCUUCGGACCUUGCGCGAUUGAAUGAGCCGAUGUCGGAUUAGCUAGUUGGCGGGGUAAAGGCCCACCAAGGCGACGAUCCGUAGCUGGUCUGAGAGGAUGAUCAGCCACACUGGAACUGAGACACGGUCCAGACUCCUACGGGAGGCAGCAGUGGGGAAUAUUGGACAAUGGGCGCAAGCCUGAUCCAGCCAUACCGCGUGGGUGAAGAAGGCCUUCGGGUUGUAAAGCCCUUUUGUUGGGAAAGAAAAGCAGCAGGUUAAUACCCCGCUGUUCUGACGGUACCCAAAGAAUAAGCACCGGCUAACUUCGUG